rnacentral:rRNA from 1 species
UACGGAGGGGGCUAGCGUUGUUCGGAAUUACUGGGCGUAAAGCGCACGUAGGCGGCUUUGUAAGUUAGAGGUGAAAGCCCAGGGCUUAACCCUGGAAUUGCCUUUAAGACUGCAUCGCUAGAAUCGUGGAGAGGUGAGUGGAAUUCCGAGUGUAGAGGUGAAAUUCGUAGAUAUUCGGAAGAACACCAGUGGCGAAGGCGACUCACUGGACACGUAUUGACGCUGAGGUGCGAAAGCGUGGGGAGCGAACCGG